ACAUUUAGUGGUUUAGUGGCAGAAUGCUUGAUUGCCACGUAGGCGAUCCGGGUACGAUUCCUGACUAGUGUA